UCGGGAAUUUUGGGCAAUGGGCGAAAGCCUGACCCAGCAACGCCGCGUGAAGGAUGAAGUUUCUCGGAAUGUAAACUUCACAAGAACGGGAAGAAUAAGGAUGGGCUAAUACCCCUUCCGAUGACGGUACCGUUUGUAAGCUCCGGCUAACUCCGUGCCAGCAGCCGCGGUAAGACGAACCGUGCAAACGUUGUUCGGAAUCACUGGGCUUAAAGGGCGCGUAGGCGGGUCGGCCCGUCUGAGGGGGAA
rnacentral:rRNA from 1 species